GGAUUGUGGCUCAGUGGUAGAGCGCUCACCUAGCACGUACAAGGUCCUGAGUUCGAUUCUCAGCACCA
rnacentral:tRNA from 1 species